UACAGAUGAAUAACUGAUUCUCCACACACGUAUAACACUUGAGUUUCAGGUGUUAUUACAGAUGAAUAACUGAUUCUCCACACACGUAUAACACUUGAGUUUCAGGUGUUAUUACAGAUGAAUAACUGAUUCUCCACACACGUAUAACACUUGAGUUUCAGGUGUUAUUACAGAUGAAUAACUGAUUCUCCACACACGUAUAACACUUGAGUUUCAGGUGUUAUUACAGAUGAAUAACUGAUUCUCCACACACGUAUAACACUUGAGUUUCAGGUGUUAUUACAGAUGAAUAACUGAUUCUCCACACACGUAUAACACUUGAGUUUCAGGUGUUAUUACAGAUGAAUAACUGAUUCUCCACACACGUAUAACACUUGAGUUUCAGGUGUUAUUACAGAUGAAUAACUGAUUCUCCACACACGUAUAACACUUGAGUUUCAGGUGUUAUUACAGAUGAAUAACUGAUUCUCCACACACGUAUAACACUUGAGUUUCAGGUGUUAUUACAGAUGAAUAACUGAUUCUCCACACACGUAUAACACUUGAGUUUCAGGUGUUAUUACAGAUGAAUAACUGAUUCUCCACACACGUAUAACACUUGAGUUUCAGGUGUUAUUACAGAUGAAUAACUGAUUCUCCACACACGUAUAACACUUGAGUUUCAGGUGUUAUUACAGAUGAAUAACUGAUUCUCCACACACGUAUAACACUUGAGUUUCAGGUGUUAUUACAGAUGAAUAACUGAUUCUCCACACACGUAUAACACUUGAGUUUCAGGUGUUAUUACAGAUGAAUAACUGAUUCUCCACACACGUAUAACACUUGAGUUUCAGGUGUUAUUACAGAUGAAUAACUGAUUCUCCACACACGUAUAACACUUGAGUUUCAGGUGUUAUUACAGAUGAAUAACUGAUUCUCCACACACGUAUAACACUUGAGUUUCAGGUGUUAUUACAGAUGAAUAACUGAUUCUCCACACACGUAUAACACUUGAGUUUCAGGUGUUAUUACAGAUGAAUAACUGAUUCUCCACACACGUAUAACACUUGAGUUUCAGGUGUUAUUACAGAUGAAUAACUGAUUCUCCACACACGUAUAA